GUUUAGCAAGAAGUUCAGCCUCUUUCCUCAACCUUCCUCACGGUCUUGGCCCCCUAGCGGCGAUCUGCGCAGGCGCAAGGAACUGUAUGCACAAAGGAGCCUGCUUAAUCCAAUGAAGUAAAAACAUUAGCAGCCCUGGAGGUCUCAUGGUGAAGACGGUCGUGUCACAAGAUGGGAGGAACCUGGAUCCCUGAGUCAGAGAAGAGGUGCCCAGGAGAACCACCCAACCAAGAACACCUACACUGAACUUUGCAUGAGUAAAAAAAUAAUUUGUGUGUGUGUUAAGCGUCAGUGAUCCAAAUAUUGUUAACACUGUUAGAUUACCUUAAUCUAAUUAAUCUGACUAAUGCAGAAGGAAUAUUAGGAGAUGUUUGCAAUAUUUGAGAUAAGAUAAAGACUGUCCAUAUUAUAUGCUGAAGUAUAGGAGCCGUUGGAGAAGACAAGUGGAAGAUGGAAGAAAGAGGGAUAAUAAUUUAUGGAUAAUAUUGAGAAGGCAGGAGGAGAUAGGAUCCAGAGCAUAAGAAGCAUUAGCUCCUUCAACAGGAGGCGGGAAAGAGGGAUGCCUAUUUAAAACAGAAGGGAAGACACAUCUAUAGGUGAGCAGUAAGAAGCCACCUAGUUUUCUCUAAGACAUAGGAGGUAAAGACAUCUGCUGCGAGAGUGAAAGGAUAGCAAUAAAGGUCCAAGACAAAUAUUAAUAGUAAUUUCUGUGAAGAACAGGAGAGAGCUGGGCAGAGAUAUUUAACAAGUGAAAGGCCACCAGCCCACAUGGUUGGAGGAAUUUUCUCCAGCCCAGCUCAUCAUUCUGGGUGUAGGGGGCAGAUAGGUGGAUUUUAGGAUUGAUCCAAGGUUAAAGGAUUGCAGAGUAGAUGCAUUGCAAGAACAAAGGAAUGGUGGAAUUGGCUCAGUAAGUUAGGAUAGGCCCAGCUGCUGUAACCAGGGACCCAACAGUAAUUCAGUGGCUCAAACAAGAUAGAAUUUUCCAAUUCCAGGUACAAUGGAGUAUUCCACAUAUUCCACAAUGGAUGCAGCUAAAACAAAACAAAACAAAACAAAACAAAAAACCUGGACAUAAUAUAUAGAGCAGAUUUUUGAGGACUCUGAAAAUUAAAUAGUAGUUGGUGAUUGGGGAAGAGGACUAGAAUUUGAAGUACUAUCAAACUGAUAGUGAGUUUGUCAUUGUUUUGCUCCAAUAAGCAGCAUAAAACCUAAAUGUGGGUAUCUGCACAGAGGGAGCUCCAGGAGAAACCCUCUAGCUCUGGCUCAAAGAACAGAGAAGAGUCUCCUAAUGCUCUGAGAGA